GAAAUGCGAUAAGUAAUGUGAAUUGCAGAAUUCAGUGAAUCAUCGAAUCUUUGAACGCACAUUGCGCUCGCCAGUAUUCUGGCGAGCAUGCCUGUUCGAGCGUCAUUUCAACCAUCAAGCUCUGCUUGCGGUGGGGAUCCGCGGCUGCCCGCGGUCCCUCAAAAACAGUGGCGGGCUCGCUAGUCACACCGAGCGUAGUAACUCUACAUCGCUAUGGUCGUGCGGCGGGUUCUUGCCGUAAAACCCCCAAUUUCUAAGGUUGACCUCGGAUCAGGUAGGAAUACCCGCUGAACUUAAGC
rnacentral:misc_RNA from 1 species